UAUGCGGCUCUAUACAACAUUGUGCGCCACAAGGGUGAUACUAUCGCCACGGUAAUGGAAUUAUUUCCGCCAAAUGUGAUGUUCAAAAGAGAUUUAAUUGGACCCAGGCUCCAAUCGUGGAACAUCCUGCUCCAGCGGUUGUCCACGUUGCACUUGUCACAUGGGUCUGAUGUAUUUUGAUGGAACCUUCAUGGGAAUGGAAAAUUUUCAGUG
rnacentral:rRNA from 1 species